UACGUAGGGGGCAAGCGUUGUCCGGAAUCAUUGGGCGUAAAGAGCGUGUAGGCGGCCUGAUAAGUCGGUUGUGAAAGUCAAGGGCUCAACCCUUGAAUGCCGGCCGAUACUGUCAGGCUAGAGUCCGGAAGAGGCGAGUGGAAUUCCUGGUGUAGCGGUGAAAUGCGCAGAUAUCAGGAGGAACACCAUGCGAAGGCAGCUCGCUGGGACGUGACUGACGCUGAGACGCGAAAGCGUGGGGAGCAAACAGG
rnacentral:rRNA from 1 species